rnacentral:lncRNA from 1 species
AGGCGCAUGCGCGCGCGCAGCUGAAACGCCGGCUGAUGAAACUGACAAAGGCGAGAGCGCGCAGCAGCCCACAGCAGCCGAGUUCGCGCCGCCGGUAGGUGCUGCCAUGCCAGGGGGCGGGAUCGUGGAGCGCCUCGCAGAACCGCACGAAAGCAAAAACAAAGCCAUCUCUCCGGAGCAGAAAUAGAACAGACGUGGCCGGGGAAAGCCAAAUAUUUCCUGCCGUCCUGGUGAACACAAUCGAGCAAGGCAGUGAAGCAAACAUCAUUAGGUGGCUGGACUCAGACACAUCACGCUCCAGUUUGGGUUCCAAGGUGCUUCUCUCUGGAUUUUCACCUGCCUUGCCAAAAAUGAUUGAUUACGCUGGGCCAACUGGGUGUCCGGCAAUACCCAACAAAUGACUUUGGCCCCUAACAGCAGGUCUUGGCCAGACAGAAAUCAAUAUUUCACCAUUAAAAUCUAUCAAAGAAGAGUUAAGGCACCAUCUGUCCCUGCCGCCUCUCUAUGGUGUGUGAACAUUAAAUCCGACACUUGUACUACAUGGGUAAUCAAUAUAUAGUGGUUCACAGAUCAUUUGUGGUUCCCUUUUAGCAGUGAUGGAUGUCUGGAAUCGUUGUGAUUCAUUUUGUCAGACCAUUAAACAAGAUUCUGUCCAGUUCCUUCCUGAUUUCA